AGCUUGCUAGAAGAUGACGAGCGGCGGACGGGUGAGUAAUACUUAGGAAUCUACCUAGUAGUGGGGGAUAGCACGGGGAAACUCGUAUUAAUACCGCAUACGACCUACGGGAGAAAGGGGGCAGUUUACUGCUCUCGCUAUUAGAUGAGCCUAAGUCGGAUUAGCUAGAUGGUGGGGUAAAGGCCUACCAUGGCGACGAUCUGUAGCUGGUCUGAGAGGAUGAUCAGCCACACCGGGACUGAGACACGGCCCGGACUCCUACGGGAGGCAGCAGUGGGGAAUAUUGGACAAUGGGGGAAACCCUGAUCCAGCCAUGCCGCGUGUGUGAAGAAGGCCUUUUGGUUGUAAAGCACUUUAAGCAGUGAAGAAGACUCCUCGGUUAAUACCCGUGGACGAUGACAUUAGCUGCAGAAUAAGCACCGGCUAACUCUGUGCCAGCAGCCGCGGUAAUACAGAGGGUGCAAGCGUUAAUCGGAAUUACUGGGCGUAAAGGGAGCGUAGGUGGCUCGAUAAGUCAGAUGUGAAAUCCCCGGGCUCAACCUGGGAACUGCAUCUGAUACUGUUGAGCUAGAGUAUGUGAGAGGAAGGUAGAAUUCCAGGUGUAGCGGUGAAAUGCGUAGAGAUCUGGAGGAAUACCGAUGGCGAAGGCAGCCUUCUGGCAUAAUACUGACACUGAGGCUCGAAAGCGUGGGUAGCAAACAGGAUUAGAUACCCUGGUAGUCCACGCCGUAAACGAUGUCUACUAGUCGUUGGGUCCCUUGAGGACUUAGUGACGCAGCUAACGCAAUAAGUAGACCGCCUGGGGAGUACGGCCGCAAGGUUAAAACUCAAAUGAAUUGACGGGGGCCCGCACAAGCGGUGGAGCAUGUGGUUUAAUUCGAUGCAACGCGAAGAACCUUACCUGGUCUUGACAUAUCUAGAAUCCUGCAGAGAUGCGGGAGUGCCUUCGGGAAUUAGAAUACAGGUGCUGCAUGGCUGUCGUCAGCUCGUGUCGUGAGAUGUUGGGUUAAGUCCCGCAACGAGCGCAACCCUUGUCCUUAGUUACCAGCGGGUUAAGCCGGGAACUCUAAGGAUACUGCCAGUGACAAACUGGAGGAAGGCGGGGACGACGUCAAGUCAUCAUGGCCCUUACGACCAGGGCUACACACGUGCUACAAUGGUAGGUACAGAGGGCAGCUACACAGCGAUGUGAUGCGAAUCUCAAAAAGCCUAUCGUAGUCCAGAUUGGAGUCUGCAACUCGACUCCAUGAAGUAGGAAUCGCUAGUAAUCGCGGAUCAGAAUGCCGCGGUGAAUACGUUCCCGGGCCUUGUACACACCGCCCGUCACACCAUGGGAG
rnacentral:rRNA from 1 species